UUAGGGAUGUGCAUGUGCAAAAAUUUUUGUUCGGUUCGGCACUUCCAAAAUUUGGGAAUUCGGCACUUCGACACUUGGGUUCCGUGCGGCAUUUCCGAAAUUCGGGACUUUGGGAAUUCGGGACUUUAACACUUCAGGAUUUUGGGAAUUUGAGACUUUAGCAAAUCCCUAACCCUACCCAUAACCCUAACCCUACCUCUACCCCUAACGCUUA